rnacentral:misc_RNA from 1 species
CGGGUGGUGUAUAUUGCAAAAGAUCCAACAACACCAAGUACCCAUAAUGCUUGAAGAGUGCGUUUAAUCUCAGUUAGUUAGAUGUGAAUCAAAAGUAAUGAUGGCCGCAGUCCCCCAGCUCCAAGACUGUAUAAUAGAUCAAGAUUUUGCUUGACUAUAUUUCCCUCAACAAAGAAUCACUGGGUAAAAACGCAUCUGAUGCUGCAAUCACAAAUGCAGACGCUGCAGUAACCAACCCCGA